CACCGCUUUUCAUCCUAGUUUUAUUAGAAGGACGAGGAAGUUAUCAUAUUCCCAUACAGGAAAACUGGAAUCACCUGAUUUGAAAGUGGGAUAACUUCUUCAUUCCCAACUCCUAUGAGAUUUAUUUCCACUUUCUGGUUAUUCUCCACUACUUUAUGUAUCCAAAUAUAGCUUUUUACAUCGCGAUUCAUCCUGGUUUAAUUAGAAUGACGAGGAAAUUGUCAUAUUCCCAAACAAGAAAACUGGGAUCACCUGAUUUGAAAGUGGGAUAACUUCUUCAUCCUAACUCCUAUGAGAUUUAUUCCAUUUCAAGGUGAUUCUCCACUACUUUAUGUAUCCAAAUACAACUUCUUACAUCGCGAUUCAUCCUCGUUUGAUUAGAAUGACUAGGAAGUUGUCAUAUUCCCAAACAGGAAAACUGGGAUCACAUGAUUUGAAAAUGGGAUAACUUCUUCAUCCUAAUUCCUAUGAGAUUUAUUUUUCCUCUUGGUUAUCAUAUUUAUUUCAUCAAAAUAUAGCUUCUUACAUCGCGAUUCAUCCUAGUUUAAUUAGAAUGACGAUGUAGUUAUCAUAUUCCGAAACAGGAAAACUGGGAUCACCUGAUUUGAAAGUGGGAUAACUUCUUCAUCCUAAUUCCUAUGAGAUUUAGUCCACUUCAUGCCUAUUCUCCGGUACUUUAUGUAUCUAAAUACAGGUUCUUACAUCACGAUUCAUCCUGGUUUAAUUAGAAUGACGAGGAAGUUGUCAUAUUCCCAAACAGGAAAACUGGGAUCACCUGAUUUGUAUGUGGGAUAACUUCUUCUUCCUAACUCCAAUCAGAUUUAUUCCACUUCAUGGCAAUUCUCCAGUACUUUAUGUAUCCAAAUACAGGUUCUUACA